rnacentral:rRNA from 1 species
UACAGGGGGGGCAAGCGUUGUUCGGAAUUACCGGGCGUAAAGGGCUCGUAGGCGGCCAACUAAGUCCGACGUGAAAUCCCAAAGCUUAACUUUGGAACUGCGUCGGAUACUGGAUGGCUUGAAUUCGGGAGAGGGAUGCAGAAUUCCAGGUGUAGCGGUGAAAUGCGUAGAUAUCUGGAGGAAUACCGGUGGCGAAGGCGGCAUCCUGGACCGACAUUGACGCUGAGGAGCGAAAGCUAGGGGAGCAAACGGG